CCACUUUAAUAUUCCAAUAGUGUUACAUUUGUGUAAUUGGGAAUUACACCAACUGCGAAGGAUGAAUUAAUGUUCUCACAUUACCAGACCACUGGUGUUCCUAUCCGUGCCAGUAAGAGAGCUCAGAUCAACAUCCUCAUAAACAGAAUCUCUGGCUUCCCGAAAACCAAAUCCCUGAACGAGACUAUCUUCCCUGUCAUGUUUAUCAACGAGACGGUAGUGAUCGACGACGUGUCGGCGGCGAAGCUCCACAAGCUGUUGCUAAUGGUGUCGCUGGUGUCCAACUUCCCUCUCGUCCUGGUUGGUCUGGGGGCCAUCCUGUUGCUGGUGUUCAUCGGCCUCAUCGUCUGCGAAUGCAAACAGAAGAAGUCAACAAAGGAAGACACAUCUUAUUCCCCUGUGAGCAACAAGGAGGCUGACGAAAAAAAUGGCUGCAGCUACGUUGCCUUGACUCCCGUUAUUGACAAGUCUUGAGGAGGGAAUGGGAAGGCUUUAUGGAGAGACAGAUGUAGGAUCUUAAUAUGAACCAGUUUGCUACAGCAGUAAAAUAAUCCUGCUUCAAUAGGAAAUGUGAAUUAUGUGGAUUAUAAUUAAUGGACAUUUUUGUAGGGUUUUUAAAAGUCAAAAAACACAGCAAGUUUGCAAUUCUCAGAAACAAAACAGUGAUAAAAUUACGAUCCUACAUCUGUAUAUCAUAUAUAUCAGUGUGAGUUGCUGUUCAGGGCUGGAUCGUUGUAAAUCAUUGUGGCACUAGUUAGACUACUUUGAUAUGUCUCCGUUGUUUUGUUUUGUUACUUGGUUUAUUUGGAUCUGGUUCAACCCACAAAGUGAGGCUAAUCUUCCCAAAGUCCCUGUUAACUCACAAGGUGGGGCUAAUCUUCCCAAAGUCCCUGUUAACUCACAAGGUGGGGCUAAUCUUCCCAAAGUCCUUGUUAACCCACAAGGUGGGGCUAAUCUUCCCAAAGUCCUUGUUAACCCACAAGGUGAGGCUAAUCUUCCCAAAGUCCCUGUUAACUCACAAGGUGGGGCUAAUCUUCCCGAAGUCCCUGUUAACUCACAAGGUGGGGCUAAUCUUCCCAAAGUCCUUGUUAACCCACAAGGUGGGGCUAAUCUUCCCAAAGUCCCUGUUAACCCACAAGGUGGGGCUAAUCUUCCCAAAGUCCCUGUUAACCCACAAGGUGGGGCUAAUCUUCCCGAAGUCCCUGUUAACUCACAAGGUGGGGCUAAUCUUCCCGAAGUCCCUGUUAACCCACAAGGUGGGGCUAAUCUUCCCAAAGUCCUUGUUAACCCACAAGGUGAGGCUAAUCUUCCCAAAGUGUUGACAUACAGUACAUGGCCAAUUUGACCAGCUGUUUCAAACAUUCUAUACAAUAUAAACUGUUUGAUACCUGUUAUUCAACAUUUUGUAAAAAAAAAAAAAAGGCUUUAUAAAUAUAUUUGAUUGAUUGACAGCUCUAAUGCAGUUCCACCCUCAACACCGUCAAAACAACUGCUAUUAGGAUGUUGGCUAAAGUGAACCCUUAAUCUGUAUCUGGGAAACCAGCCCUAGGUGUGUGCCCUAAAGAUGUGUCCUAAAGAUGUGUCCUAAAGAUGUGCCCUAAAGAUGUGUCCUAAAGAUGUGUCCUAAAGAUGUAUCUACAUUAUUCAGGUAUCAUUCCAUUCUCAGGGGCACUAUGCUAGAAACUAUGCACCUUGUGCAUCAUGAGAUGGCUUCAAAAGUGAUUAUUAUUAUGAAACCGUAAAGUGUCAAAGAAGGUCAAGGAAGUGGUGAGAUGCUCUACUGAACAACGAAGGCUAAAUAUUUCAUGUAAUGAGUGUCUUCUUAUUAAUGAAUUUGGAUUCAUAUUAAAACGAACAACAACAAAACAUAUUUGUAACGUUAGCUAUAAUUGUUACAUUUCUACGUAUUUUAUUUGUUCAUGCACUGUUUAAAUUUAUUUUCCAACUUGGUUGGUUGAAUGUUCAAAUUAGUGAACAAAAAUGCCGUCUGACUAUGUUUAUGUUAUUGAACAUAUCCACAAUACCAUCCAUACCUAAUUCAUGGUUCACCUUCACUUUCAACUUGCAUGUGGUGAUAUUUUGCAAGUGAGCAUUUUUAAGUGUUACGUAUCUGAUAUUCCAAAUGUGACAUCUUGCCUACAUUCCUUAGGUGAGACACCUGUACCCCAGUUGGUAUAUUCAUUAGGUGAGACGCCUGUACCCAGUUGGUAUAUUCAUUAGGUGAGACGCCUGUACCCAGUUGGUACAUUCCUUAGGUGAGACACCUGUACCCAGUUGGUAUAUUCAUUAGGUGAGACGCCUGUACCCAGUUGGUAUAUUCAUUAGGUGAGUGUUGAUCUGUAUCGGUCAGAUCUAUUAAAAACAAUACCACAUCAUUGGCUUAUUGCUGCCAUUGUGUGAACGAGCCAACAAACCUAUGGCACUCUGUAUACUGCGUAAAACAUGGACAGGUUUUGAUUGACUGAAUUGUUUCUGAGGCUUUUUGACACGUCAGACAAUUCUCCUGUGCCCUAUAGUGCGGGUGGCCUUCUUGUCUGAAACAAAAGAAUGAAGGCAAUGAAAAUGUGUAAUUUGAAGAUCAGAUCCCUUUAGAAUGUAUUUACAGGAUAGUGUUUUUACUAAUAGAAUAGAGUGUGUACUAAUGUGCAUUUCUGUUAUACAGGGAAGUCCAUAUGUUGUUGUGUUUUCUUUGGUUGAUAUUUUUUUUUGACAGAAAAAUGGACUGAAACUUUUAACUCACGUAUCAGGUUCUGAAUGAUCUAAAUGUAUUAUCAUCACUACAUUAUCUCUACAUUAUCUCUGCAUUUACCAUAGCUGCUGAUGAAACCAUAACUUCAGGUUUUGAUGCAAGGUUGUCAUCCUAAUGGCAAACAUUUUGGAAUCAAAGAUAAACAUGUAUAUCAUACUAAACUACUGGAAUUGUAGACAUUUUGCAGUGAUGUUGAAAGCCAAAUUGUGUAUUGCUUUCUAUUGUGAGCCGUUAAUAGGAGCUCAUUAGCAGACUGUCUAUCUAGAAAAUGUAUUGAGAGAAACGGGCUCCUUGGAUAUCUACAUAUGUUUAUUUUCAAUGGCAUCUCCUAUUGACAUUAUAUACAUUUGUAUUAUUAUGCCUAUAAUAGCCUUUGUGCAACUGCUUAACUGCUAUAGUCCUAUAGUGUAUUAAUGCUUUGUUAAUUGUUGAAAUUGAAAUGGACUUGCUUGAAUGAUUGCUCUUAUUGUAUUGUAAUGACUGUCUGAACGUAGCCUGACAAUGAGUGACGAGGAGUUGGCAUGACAGCGCCAACAAACAUGGCAAUCAGGCUAGUCUGACACCUCAAUGUUGAAAUCAACGCAUCAGAUCACUGAGUUUAACUAUUGAUGCAUUACUUUGUAACCCAGCUGUCUUCUCUUUUCUUUAAGAUAUGCCAAACAAAAGUAGCAGAACUUUUGCUUUCCUAGAUUACUUGUUGUGAAUUUAUUAGAUACUGUUUUACUUGUGACUCACUUGUUUAUGAGAUGCCAUGCUCUUACGUACUCAGUAUUAGUUACUCUGGUUGAAAAAUAGAAAAGCAGCAAUAGAAAUUUAUAGUUUGAAAAAUGAGUAAAUGUUAGCGUUUUCUUCUCUUAUUAUAAGUCUAAUCAGUCAUAUCAUUUCAUAUUUUGAUGUUAAUUUGUCUUUGGACUCUGUAUUUACUCUGUAGCAACCAUGUGCCUUGGUCUGUAAUGGAAUUACAGAACAUUGAAUGAAGAGGGCCUCGUUCACAGGUGGUUGGUGGCACCUUAAUUGGGGAGGACGGACUCGUGGUAAUGACUGGAGCGGGAUCAGUGGAAUGGUAUCAAAUACAUCAAACACAUGGUUUCCAGGUGUCUGAUGCCAUUCCAUUUGCUCCGUCCUGGCCAUUAUUAUGAGCCAUCCUCCCCUCAGCAGCCUCCGCUGGUUUAAUUUCACCCUCAGACUCUAUGGUGCAUUUUGUAAAACAUUAGAAACAGGACAAAAUUGGGAUACAACAACUAUCAGGAGAAUUGUAUAGGUAAAUUAUACACCAUAAAAUCAAAACCAUUCUACAUGUACAACCAUAGACAUCAGUGUACACACACAGCACUACUUGUUUUGUGCUUGAACGCCAUAGAUCACAUGUAAUUAAACUACUUUCCUCAGUCCCAAAGUCCUGUUUUCUGUAAUACAGCUAAAUGCUUUUCAUUGCAGCAGUCAAACAUAAUCCUUACAUUUAUCAUAGUUAUCAUUAUUUUUGGAAUGUAGACUGCAAAAAAGUUACUAAAAUAUUUUUGGGUAAAAAUAAAAUGUUAAACUUAUUUACAAUGAAAUAAAAGCAACCAUUUUGAUUGA
rnacentral:lncRNA from 1 species